rnacentral:rRNA from 1 species
AUGUCUGAUGAGCUCCUCUGCACGGAGGCUGAGCUGGGCCGGGCUGUGGUGGUCUUGGUGACUGGUACACGACCGCUGGUCGACCUUGCAGAUGCGGCGGCCGCGAUUCCCCGGGUGUUCGAUAUUGGCCCGGCUGACAUGUCUAUCCGCGCGUUCUGGCCGGAAGACUUCCUGGUGAUCUGCGAGAACAUGCAUACUCGCAAUCGGCUGGUGGCGGACGGACGGGCAGAGAGGCCUGGGUUCUCGCUUUCACUUCGACCAUGGUCGCGUUUGGCCCAGGCGACGGCGGUGUCUCUUCCUACCCUGGUUCCGCUGGACCUGGUGGGUGUCCCGGCCCAAGCUUGGUGCAGACGGACGGCGGAGGUCAUCCUCCGUGGUUGUGGGUUUGUGGUGGACGUUGCGGCGGCUACUUCCCGACGGUAUGACAUGUCCCGUUUUCGCGUCUGGCUCCGGAGGAUCGCCCCGAGCGCAUCCCGGUGCGUCGCUUGCUGCUGGUGGAGGAGCCGGCGGUUUUGGAGAGGCCGAGGGGACGCCAUAGGGGCCCGCUGGGCCGCAGGUGGUACAGGACGCUCCGCUACCCCAUAUCCAUCCACAGGGUAG